rnacentral:rRNA from 1 species
AGUGAACGCUGGCGGUAGGCCUAACACAUGCAAGUCGAACGGCAGCACAGUAAGAGCUUGCUCUUACGGGUUGCGAGUGGCGGACGGGUGAGGAAUACAUCGGAAUCUACUUUUUCGUGGGGGAUAACGUAGGGAAACUUACGCUAAUACCGCAUACGACCUACGGGUGAAAGCAGGGGAUCUUCGGACCUUGCGCGAUUGAAUGAGCCGAUGUCGGAUUAGCUAGUUGGCGGGGUAAAGGCCCACCAAGGCGGCGAUCCGUAGCUGGUCGGAGAGGAUGGUCAGCCACCCUGGAACGGAGACACGGUCCAGACUCCUAAGGUAGGGAGCAGUGGGGAAUAUUGGACAACGGGCGCAAGCCUGAUCCAGCCAUACCGCGUGGGUGAAGAAGGCCUUCGGGUUGUAAAGCCCUUUUGUGGGGAAAGAAAAGCAGCAGGUUAAUACCCCGCUGUUCUGACGGUACCCAAAGAAUAAGCACCGGCUAACUUCGUG